AUAUUAGUCGGGUUCUUAACCCAUUGAGCCAUAGCAUGAACUCCUUAACUGAGAACUUCUUGAGUGGAAUGAAGACUUGUCAAAUUCUGCACAGUUCAAAGCCAAUAACUGUUCAUCACAUAUAAAAUACUUGAAUUUCCUCAACGCUCUAAGAGAGAAAUAAAUUUCCAUUACUUCCAAUUAUUUCACUUGUAAUAAUUAGAUAUCAAUCUUAUGACUCAUGAUAUUGCCUUAUAUUGAAAUAUAAGGAAGAUAAAUGCUUAAGAAGGUAAGGAGAAAAUGAGUGUGAGAUAUUAAAAAGUUCCCUAUGUCUUUCUGAAAUAAAUGUAGUGUGCUUGUUUUUGAAAGAAUUGCUGCUUCAGGGGAGAAAGGUGAAAAUCUAUUAAAGAGAAAAAAAGUUUCUAAAGAAGUUGAGAGGUUUCUUUUUAUUUCCUUAAAAAAAAUUCUUACUGCUAAGUAUUGGCUCUUGGAAAAAAUGGUUAGCUAGCUAUAAAGUCGUAAUAGAAAAUAGUAAAAGCAAUGAAACAUACAAUUAAGGAUCACCCACCCCAGAUAUCUUCUAGUUCAUUAGUCAUCCUCCUAUCUCGGCCGAGGAGUUUUCUCAAUCUCUUGCUUUUUACUCCCAGACUCAUCUACAGGAAACUGACGAUAAGGUUCACUCUUUUUUAUAGUGUUUCCUUGCACAAAGCAAUGAUCUCUUAAACAUGAAGUUUAAUGCUCCCUCAGGAAAUGCUGUCCAUUUUAGACUCUUUUUUUCUGCAUGGUAGCGUUCUCUUUUUCUCAGUGAGGCUUGUAAGCUACAUCAGUAGUCAUAGGGAGUUUUACUCGAUUCACCAGUAGAGGGAGUUCAAAUUAAGUUGUGUGAACUUUUGGGGAAGGGGUUGUUCUAGAAUUUUCAAGGGUGCUGUAUAUCAUGGGCUGAAUACAGGGGACUGAGGGCACCAAUAACCAAAUAUAGAAGGGGGCAUUUGUUGAUUCUUUCAACAAACACUGCUAGGACAGGUGUUGCAGGUGAAAAAUAAAAGGAAGAGAGUGUCUGUGCUCUUCUCAAAGAGUUUUUGUUUAGUUUGAUGGGGGAAAUAUUUGUGGGUGCCCAUAGACGAUAAUGGCUAUUCUGGAUACAUUAUAAGAUGUGAACAAAAUGCGGGAACUGCUAAGCUAACAAGAUUGGUAGUGGUGGGGGUUAGAAGAAGGUCAUGUGUUGAGUGUUAGUUACAGAGUAACCAGAAGUCAUCUUUCUCUUCAAAGAGUCUGGUGAGCCAGGAAGGUGGGGCCAUGGGUUCUAUAAGCCUGGGCAUAGGAUAUUUAGCAGAGACCCUAGGACUCAGGGGCUUCUAAUCUUUUUUUUUUUUUUUUUUUUUUUUUUUUCUGCCACCAAAUGGUUCAGGGACCUUAACCAGUCUCUUAAUUAUUUAGAGAUUCAUUCAGCUAUGAAUUCAGUGGGAUUGGUGGUUAAGUACUUUAAAUCCCCUUCUAUGACGGAUGCCUAGAAGCAUGACAAGAGAAGAUGUGGGUACAGAAUAGGACCCUGGCCUGUUGCGACCUCACAGGUGGAGUCACCUUCUUUUCCUUUGUUACUUCCUCAAGCUCUUGUCCAACAUUACUGUGCUCACAAACCAAAGUCCCCUUAAAUCACUCUUAACCUCAUUGACAUCCUGAGGAGUUGGGAUUGUUCUUACAUGUGGGUUAGGAAUAGCUCACUCAAAAACAAAUAUUCCUUGUUGGGACAGAGUCAUUCUGGUUUAGGGGACCUUCCUUUGUGUUUUCACAGGUACCUAUGUGUACCUCUAGUAUAAGAGGCUAACUGUGUAUCGUCAUAAGUUAGUUGUCUAUCCAGCUGUUUGAAGAGAGCAGGAAAUCUCAAUAAUCUCUCCAUCCCUAGCACUCAACACAGAGCUAGGAAUGUAGUAAACUCCUAAUAAUGUUUGCCGGAUGGAUGGAUGAAUGACUGAAUCAAAUGAGUGAAUGAAAUCACACUUUGCUGGGAGUCUGAUUGUUAUAGACAGGCUACACUUUCCCCCAGGUUAUGAUAAUAUUGAGCAGCAAGAAAGGUUAAGCUCCAGGCAUAACUAUGAUCUUUAUUUUAAGUGAAAAUUGUGCUCAUUUUGUAGAAUUUUGUAGAAAAGUUUAGUAUCAUAAAGACCUUCUCCUGAGAUUGAUUUUCCCCUCAAAUCUGUAUCUGUCAAAAUGCCACAAACAAAGUUCAGCAGAAAAAAAAAAAACAAACAGUGAAAAUCAUUCAAGGUGGGCAAGGAGAAAAUAUCAAAGUAAGUCUUUCAGGAUGACUAAGACAUUUGAGGUCUAAUGACCUUAGACGUUCCUUGUAAAGCUGGAUGAGUUGACUCAAGUGGAAAGGUGAAUCUUACUGCUUUCAGUAAAAUCCUUUCUUCAUACCCAUCUUGAAUAAUUUUCACUGCUUUUUUUCUACACUUUUUUUUCCUCCCUUUUUUGGCUGCCCCAGGGCAUGUGGAGUUCCCAGGCUGGGGAACAGAUCCACGCUGGAGUGUUGCAACCUAUGUCACAGCUGCAGUAAUGCCAGAUCCUUAACCCACAGUACCAGGCUGGAGAUCGAACCUGGGUCCUAGGACAGAGUGGAGACUCCUUUUUAUCCGCUUCUAAUCCUUUCUAGUUUGCAUCAUAUUCUAAAGUUAGGGACAUAUGCUCACUGACCUGUAGCAAAAUUCAUUCAAAUUGUGUUUACACAAAUAACUUUAACAUUAGUUAAAUAACUGAUAUCUUUGAAUGCCAGACAAGUACUUUCAGUGAGGUUAUCACGUUAAAGUUCUAUUUUCUUGUAAAGAACACAUUACUGUUCUUAUUUUUUAACUGUUUGAAACUUAGAGGUUGAAUAACUUGUCCAAGGUUUUGCACCUGGUGUUAGAGUUAGGAUUCACACCAAUUUCUGACUAAUUUCAUUAUCUGUGUUCUUUUAAUUAUUUCAUGUUGUCUCUCAUGAUAUUAAAUUCUUGAUAGAUGGGUUAGAUUUGACCUAAUAAUCAGAAAAUCCAAUGAAAUAAAAAGAAUUGUAAGUGGCCAGUAUGUACAAAAAUCAAUUAGUUGACUGUGUUUUUCGCUUGUGAAAAUCUUGUAAGGUGUUAUGAUACAUCUCCAAUAUUAGAUUUUUUUUCCAUAAUAAAAUUAGGUAUACAAGGAACUUUGGGAUUCAUUUUUUAAGGGAAUGUUUAUUGAUCACCUACUGUGUACCUGCUUUUCAGAGCUUAGGUUGUAGCAGAACUGAACAAAAUUCUUACUUAAGAAAACUUGGAGUACAUUAAUGAACAACACAGACAAAAAUCCAUGUCCUCAUGGAAGUGUAAUUCCCAUUAUUGUCUCAAUUACAAUCAGGUGGAAGCAAAUUAUCCCGAAUUACUCAGAUAAUUGCCUCUAUAUUUCAUUUCACGGCUCCUGUAGACUUGACCAACCUUAAACACCCAUUAGGACCCACUAUAAACAUUGCUUUUAAAAAUAAUUAAAUUUGGAGAAUGGUGAACAAAGCAAAAUAUUUUAAAUAUUUUUGGUCUCCACUCUGUUUCUUAGUGGACAAUAUUGAAGCAAUAUAAUUUCUGCUUUGGUAAAAUGGUAAUGAGCUUUGUGUUCCAAUAUUAUCUUGGGAUCAGGGGCUGUUGACAAUGAUUGUGUCUCAAAAGUUUGUGAAUUAUUUAGUGAAUUAAAAUUUACUUCAUUAAUUCACUCAAACUGGACAGGUAUGGGCAAUAGCCUGCAAAGUCAUCAUGUGUACAAGUUGAGCUCCUGUAUACACAGUAGGUCAGAAACUCACCAAGACAUGCCAUAACCUUCAUUUGGGGGAAAAAAAAAACACAACUUUUUUUUUUUCCAAAGAGAAAAUUAGCCACCUACGCAUUCUGCAUUCACCAGCUAAUUGCUCCUUCUCCUUCACAUGCCCUUAGGUGCUCUAGAUGAGUAAUUUCAAGAAGAAUGCAAUUAUUAAUCUUUGAAUCUAAGGCUAGCCCCUUUUAUCAAGCAGUAUCACUUGGUAGACAUAAUACUUGAAUCGCUCCAGUUAUUGGUAGUGAUUACAUGUUUUACGUAUAUAGCCCACUACUGAAAUCUUUGAGAAUCCUGGGAUUUAAGAUUUGUGGUUUUGACAUGUUGGGUAUUGUCUUGGAUAUCCCUGAAAUUCUGUAAUAGAUGCGUUUGCUCUGGUGUGAAUUCAAAUCGGCUGUUAUUGAAGGCAAACAUGCAAGGUAAUUGAGGCGCUUAUGACAGUGACUUACAUUUAAUCUACACAGGCAUCACCAAAGGAUAUUUUACGAAAAUUCAUAUGCUGACUCUCCAGAGAGGCACCUGAGAUUCUGUAUUUUUCUCUGGGGUGUCAGUGAUGCUGGUCCUUAGAGCACACCUUAAGUUGUGAACAAUUGUUGGCGAGUGACCCUCGUGGACCCAUGAAUCACGGCUCAAGGCAGCUGUACUGUUUUCCUUUUAUUGUUACACACCCAGUAAUUUUAAUUAAGGUUUUAAAGAAGAAACUUAAAAAUUUAUAGUUGUAAUUGAAUGCAUUUUAUGAGGAAAAUCUAUGCUACAGUAAUGUUCACAAUUUGGGAUUAAGCAGCUCUUACUUGAAAUACAACCUUCCUCCUUGUCAAGGGUUCAUUGUGUCAUUUGGGGAACUCCUUCACACACGUUAUCUUCUUUGGACCUUACUACCUUUAUGAGGCAGACCAGCUGAAUAUUUUGCUAACAUAUUUUUUACAGAUAAUUCAAAUGAGACACAUAGCAGUGAAUGACACCCUCAAGAUAACACACAUCAUGUUGACAAAGCAGGGGUCUAAAACGAGGAUCCCAGCUCUUAGUUUUGCAGCAGAGCCAUCUAACAAAAUGGUUUUCAUUUUAUCCUUGCAAAACUCUCUAGAGUAAUUGCCUUGCUUCACAUAAUAUAUGUUCAAACUAAAAUUAUUAUACAUGCUUAUAAGAUACUUAGCUAUUAUCAGUGUCAUUACCAUUAUCAUCCCAACACACCAUGACAGUGCUUCUGACAAGCACUUAUUACAUUUAAAGAAUGUUUUGUGAGGUACACUGGAUAUACAAGAGAACAUAGGAGUUAGGACUCACCUCUCAGAUACCAUACAAAUGAUUUUCAUGACAACAUAAGAGAAGAUUUGAAAUAUCAAAUUGCAAACAUCAAAUUGAUGAAUUAAUGCAGUUUUAUUAGAGACUUAGUACCUAAUGAACACUCAAGUAAUGUUACUAUCAAACAGGCAUUUAAACUCUGAACGUUUUAAAAUAUUGAAACAUCCAGCAGUGAAGAAAAUCUCAACUGAUGAAGCAAGAUUUUCAGUGGCUCUUGGAAGAAGUAAAAUCACAGCAGUUAAGAGCCAGGCUCUGGAGUUUGGCUGUUUGGAUUUGGAUUACAGCCCAACCAUUCCCAUGCUGGGUGAAUUUGGGUUAAAUAACUUGACUCAGUUACUUUCAGAAGUAACAUGGAGCUAAACUUGGGAGAAAACAAUUGGUUCUACCUCAGGGGUUACUGAGAAAUUAUUUAAGACAUUAAAAAAAACAAAACUGUAUACUGCCUGAUACAUGAUAAAUGCUAUGUAAUUAGAGCUAAUUUUAUUGACCAUUUAUUAUGUUCUAAGCACUCCUUACGUGUGUUCACUCAUUUCUCUUCACAAAAACCUGUGAUGUAGGUGCAUCCUUAUUCCCAUUUUAAAGAUAUGAAUGCUAAAAUGCAGAGAGGUUAAAUGACUUGCCUUAACUCACACAACUUGGAAUUUUGAGAAACGAGAUUAAAACUCAGGCAUCUGGCCUCAAACCUGUGUUCUUUACUAAACUGUACCAGCUGUACAAAUGUCAGUUCUACUAUUAUUACCACUAUGACCGCCGCCGCUGCUGCUAUUAUUUUUAUUGUUAUUCUUGUGAUUGCUGUUGUAUUAUAUGCCAUUAAAGCUUUAGGAAAAGCUGAACAAAGUAAGGUGAAGUGAGGUGCAUUCUAGAGUGAGUCAAGGCGGAAAUGUGGUGGUCCAUCCGGCUUGACAGAGAGCUCCUGGGCCAGUUUGAUUGGGGUGGAGAGCUUGUGGGGUGAAGAAGUAGGAAAUUAGGUUGAAGAGGGAGGGCGGUACCAGACCACAGAAGCUCUUUCCUGUCCCUCUAACAUAAUAGGCCUUGGCUAUGAGGAAAAUGGGAGAAUUUGAAUCUUUUUGGUAAGGGAAAAAUUAAGUUGUAUUGCUGCUUAGAAUAAAAGUGGAGAGGAAGAGGACAGAAACAAGGAGACCAGUUAGAUACGUACGUGGAUUUUAGUGCAUUUUAUUCGUUCACUCACUUAUCAUACAACCAAGCAACCCACUCAAUCUAAGGCACAUUAGGAAUACAGCUAAAAAGUUCUUAGCUAUUAUCAGGGAAAAUGAUACAAUCACAGACUCACAAACACAUUCUCUGAGCACUAAGAAACACUCACAGAAAAUGAGGCUAUAAAGUAAUGAGACUAAAUGCACUAAGCUCUUCUGGAAUUUAUGUUAUUACUUAAUAGCCUUAGCUCCUAUAUAAGAAAUAUAUCAGGAGUUCCCAUUGUGGCCCAGUGAGUUAAGACCCAACAUAGUGUCCGUGAGGAUGUGGGUUCAACCCCGGCCUCGCUCAGUGGGUUAAGGAUCUGGUGAUGCUGCAAGCUGCUACAGUGUAGGUCACAUACACAACUUGGAUUCCCCCUUUCUGUGGCUGUGGCUGUGGCUGCGGUGCAGGCCAUCAGAUACAGGUUUGAUUCAGCCCCUAGCUCAGGAACUUCCAUACGCUGUAGGUGUGGCUGUAACAAAG
rnacentral:lncRNA from 1 species